CAACCGUGGGUUUUGCUGAUUUUGGUAUUCACAAAGGUGGUUUCAAAUGAAACCAUGGUUUCAACCGUGGGUUUUCGGCAUGAUUUUGAGUCAACUGUUUUAGGUGGUUUCAAACCGUGGGUUUUAGGAAAACCAUGGUUUUUAGGCACAUUGACCAAUCACAGAUCAGUAUUUCGGUACAUAGCUGAGCAAGUGCACAGACGACGAUAAAUCAGCUUUGCACAAAAUGAAGAGGAGCGAAGCGCUUAGUAUCGGUAUUUGCCGAGCUUUGAGAACAUCUAAAUUUUUGAAUGGAUGAAAACAUCUUACAAGUUAACAUGCACAGGCUGUCCUGAGAGACUAUUAAAGGAGGAUUGUAAGAGAGGAAUAUGCCAACAAGAACUGCAAUGAGGAGUCGUUGACAGGAGGAAACUUUUUAAAAGAGACCACACACUACCUCAUCAACAUGCUUGAAGAUGAUCUGAGCCUGAAGAGGGACAAAGGGCCUAGUGAUAGACUACCUUUCUGCAAGUAUUGACAAUUCUGCUUUUGUAUGGUGAUAAUUUCAGGGAAUACGUGGUGAUGAGGCAUCAGUGUUGCAAUUAUCUGUUUGUGAGAGAUCAAAGAUGUUUCGCAAGCCAUAGCAAGAAAAAAGAGGUUUUGUGAGAACUUCAACAACCAGAGAUGAGAUUGAGACUACCCAACAACAACUGUGUGAGUGAUCGAUGGGACCCAAGUCUAUACAAGAAUUCCUGGAGGGAAACAAGCCUUGUACUUUCCUGAAGGGCAAGUCCACCCCAACAAAAAGUUUCUUUGAUAUAAUACAGAAAAGUCCAAUGAGCAUAACACUAAACAUUUCAUCAAAAUUUGAUGUAAAAUGAGAAAGUGUUGACAUUUUGAAGUUUCGCUUAUUUUCACAAAACAGACAUCCUGGUCAGUAUGCAAAUGAGUGACAAAGUGACGUUCUCCACUCAGUGUUUCUUUUUGUAAUAUACUAGUAUCAUGAUUUUUUUCCCCUCAUAAUGUGUAUAAAGUACAGGUGAGAUAUGGUUUGAUUUCUCCCUGAAACUUUUGUAAAAAGCCAUUGUGGCAACCUAUACUCAAUUCGAUGAAGAGUUUUCUCAUAAUUGU